AACGAACGCUGGCGGUAUGCUUAACACAUGCAAGUCGAACGGACUUAUUUAGCUUGCUAAAUAAGUUAGUGGCAAACGGGUGAGUAACACGUGGGAAUCUACCCAGUAGUACGGAAUAACAGCUAGAAAUGGCUGCUAAUACCGUAUAGUAUCGAGAGAUUAAAGAUUUAUCGCUACUGGAUGAGCCCGCGUCAGAUUAGGUAGUUGGUAGGGUAAUGGCCUACCAAGCCGAAGAUCUGUAGCUGGUCUGAGAGGGUGAUCAGCCACACUGGAACUGAGACACGGUCCAGACUCCUACGGGAGGCAGCAGUGAGGAAUAUUGGACAAUGGGCGAAAGCCUGAUCCAGCAAUACCGCGUGAGUGAAGAAGGCCUUAGGGUUGUAAAGCUCUUUCAGCAGGGAAAAUAAUGAUGGUACCUGCAAAAGAAGUUCCGGCUAACUCCGUGCCAGCCGCCGCCGUAA
rnacentral:rRNA from 1 species